rnacentral:rRNA from 1 species
CACCGCGGUUAUACGAGGGACCCAAGUUGACAAAUAACGGCGUAAAGCGUGGUUAGGGGGAAUAACACAAACUAAAGCCGAACGCCUCCAAUAAUGUCUAAUAUGUCGGAGGUAUGAAGAACAUCUACGAAAGUGGCUUUAUAAUACCUGAACCCACGAAAGCUGAGGAA